rnacentral:rRNA from 1 species
UGCCAGCCGCCGCGGUAAUACGGAGGGUACGAGCGUUGUUCGGAAUUACUGGGUUUAAAGGGUGCGCAGGCGGGAUAAUAAGUCAGUGGUGAAAUCUCUCGGCUCAACCGAGAAACUGCCAUUGAAACUGUUAUUCUUGAAUCUAGUUGAAGUGAACGGAAUGUAACAUGUAGCGGUGAAAUGCAUAGAUAUGUUACAGAACACCAAUUGCGAAGGCAGUUCACUAAACUAGUAUUGACGCUCAGGCACGAAAGCGUGGGUAGCGAACAGGAUUAGAUA